UACGAAGGGGGCUAGCGUUGUUCGGAAUUACUGGGCGUAAAGCGUGCGCAGGCGGCUUCUCAAGUCAGGGGUGAAAGCCCAGAGCUCAACUCUGGAAUUGCCUUUGAGACUGAGUGGCUUGAGUACGAGAGAGGUGAGUGGAAUUCCCAGUGUAGAGGUGAAAUUCGUAGAUAUUGGGAAGAACACCGGUGGCGAAGGCGGCUCACUGGCUCGUAACUGACGCUCAUGCACGACAGCGUGGGGAUUAAACAGG
rnacentral:rRNA from 1 species